GAUGAACGCUGGCGGCGUGCCUAAUACAUGCAAGUCGAGCGAACAGACGAGGAGCUUGCUCCUCUGAUGUUAGCGGCGGACGGGUGAGUAACACGUGGAUAACCUACCUAUAAGACUGGGAUAACUUCGGGAAACCGGAGCUAAUACCGGAUAACAUGUUGAACCGCAUGGUUCAACAGUGAAAGACGGUCUUGCUGUCACUUAUAGAUGGAUCCGCGCCGCAUUAGCUAGUUGGUAAGGUAACGGCUUACCAAGGCAACGAUGCGUAGCCGACCUGAGAGGGUGAUCGGCCACACUGGAACUGAGACACGGUCCAGACUCCUAAGGGAGGGAGCAGUAGGGAAUCUUCCGCAAUGGGCGAAAGCCUGACGGAGCAACGCCGCGUGAGUGAAGAAGGUCUUCGGAUCGUAAAACUCUGUUAUUAGGGAAGAACAAAUGUGUAAGUAACUAUGCACGUCUUGACGGUACCUAAUCAGAAAGCCACGGCUAACUACGUG
rnacentral:rRNA from 1 species